UACGGAGGAUGCGAGCGUUAUCCGGAUUCAUUGGGUUUAAAGGGUGCGUAGGCGGACUAUUAAGUCAGUGGUGAAAUCCUGCAGCUUAACUGCAGAACUGCCGUUGAUACUGAUAGUCUUGAGUUUGGUUAAGGUAGGCGGAAUGUGUAAUGUAGCGGUGAAAUGCUUAGAUAUUACACAGAACACCGAUUGCGUAGGCAGCUUACUGAGCCGACACUGACGCUGAGGCACGAAAGCGUGGGGAUCGAACAGGAUUAGAUACCCUGGUAGUCCACGCCGUAAACGAUGAUUACUCGCUGUUGGCGAUACACUGUCAGCGGCUAAGCAAAAGCAAUAAGUAAUCCACCUGGGGAGUACGGCCGCAAGGUUGAAACUCAAAGGAAUUGACGGGGGCCCGCACAAGCGGAGGAACAUGUGGUUUAAUUCGAUGGUACGCGAGGAACCUUACCUGGGCUUAAAUGUAGAGUGCAUUUUUUAGAGAUAGAAAUUCCCUUCGGGGCUUUCUGCAAGGUGCUGCAUGGUUGUCGUCAGCUCGUGCCGUGAGGUGUCGGGUUAAGUCCCAUAACGAGCGCAACCCUUAUCGUUAGUUGCCAUCUGGUAAUGCAGGGGACUCUAGCGAAACUGCCACCGUAAGGUGAGAGGAAGGUGGGGAUGACGUCAAAUCAGCACGGCCCUUAUGUCCAGGGCUACACACGUGUUACAAUGGUCGGUACAGAGGGCAGCUACCUGGUGACAGGAUGCUAAUCUCGAAAACCGAUCUCAGUUCGGAUCGAAGUCUGCAACUCGACUUCGUGAAGCUGGAUUCGCUAGUAAUCGCGCAUCAGCCAUGGCGCGGUGAAUACGUUCCCGGGCCUUGUACACACCGCCCGUCAAGCCAUGGAAGCUGGGGGUGCCUGAAGUCCGUCACCGAAAGGAGCGGCCUAGGGUAAAACUAGUGACUGGGGCU
rnacentral:rRNA from 1 species